CACACACACACACACACACACACACACACACACACCCCUUACUUCUGAGCUCUGUCUUAAGAGACUACUGGUUCAGCUCCAGGCCUCUGAAAGACAUGUUAUUUCUUCCUCACAUCCAUCCAGUGGGGAGGACCCUCUGACUUAAGGGACCACCUUGGGAAGCUUCUGUAGCUUCAGCCAGGCAAGAAAGCUUCUUCCAACUUCUGUUUCUGGUGGGAGCGGGGGGACUCCCACUUUUUACAAUGUCUAGUCAUUUUCAUAGUGCCCCACAUUCAAGAACCAGACAACAGGAUGCCUUAGAAGCUGGCUGGGUUUUGGGUCAGGGGCUCAGUAUGAGAAGAAGAAAUAUGAACAGCAAAUAAAACAUUUUUGUAUAAGCUCAUGCGUGUUUCUUUUCCCCAGCCCCAGCUCUGGCUUAUGUACCUGGUCCAGAACUUCCAUGAACUCCUGAGGUCUUUUUCACCAGUGGAAAGCUUGCUGGUGUGGUCAUGACUGACAGAUACAGGGCUGAUUCAGCGUAAUAUGCUGGCUGCUCUCUCUGGCUACUUGGCAGUAAAUGAACAAAAGGUGCUUGUUGGCCACCUUUGUAUCCUUAAGUUCCAAGCAUAAAGAGAAUGAAGGACAGACAUGCAGGAUGCCCUUGGAGUGGCCAUGGGAAGCGAGUGUUUUCCUGGUGGUAUACAGACGGGCACAGCUACUGCCAGUCCCAGGUUUCACCAUUGCAGGGUGGCAUGCUCUGCCUCCUUCCAGAGAUGUUAGGUCGGGUACAUUCUGAUCCACAGCUUCCUUUCUGGGCAGUCAAAGGAAUUCAAACACAAGGAGAGCUUGUUGGUUUUGCUUCUUUAAAAUACCAGCAGAAGAUUGGGAACUGAAUUCAAGUGACUAGAUUAUGUAGCAAGGUCUGUGGAGAAAAGGCAGUGAGAGCCACAGACCUGAGGGUACUGUGGAGUGCUGAUCUGGCUUAGGACGAAUAGUCCCUUCUUCAGCUGUGUGUGUGAUGGGGACAACAGGGUUUUAAUCAAGCCAGAUUUUCCAGAAAGAGGAGAAAUGGAAUUCUGGUUUUAUCCCAGGUGACUUGUAGAUAUGAUAUACCACUGAAAGCUAACACCCAGGGCUGGCUUUGCGGGGCACUCUUCUGAGCUCUCCACAGAAUUCAGCUCAGGCAAUCUCAGAGCCCUGCCAGGUUCUGUUCUACCCCUCAAGACACUGAGGCAUAGAAGGCCUAAUGGGCUGCUCCAAACUAUUCAGCUACUGGUAAUGCUGGCAUCCAGGCAUGGCCUUCUGGUUUCAUGGUGACAGGGAUCUAACCAUGGUGCUCUUUGCAUGGAAUCAAGUUCAGCAAAGUAAAGCAAAGUGACUUGCACACAACCCCAUAGCCAGAAAGCUGCACACACUGGCCUAGUAUUUCUGAUUGCGAAGUCCUGGCUCUGCAGCUUGGUGGAAAUUCAUUCUUAGAUUUCUCCAUUUUGUGUUUCCUCAGGCUACCCCCUCCUCGGCACUUGUCAGUGUUGGUUACUAUUUUCUGAAAUUAAAAAAAAAAUGC
rnacentral:lncRNA from 1 species